AGAGUUGUUGCAGUUGGGAGCUCCUGAGAUUGUUCCAGAUUAUCCAAUUCUUUCUGUUGAUGACCUAGCAGAUCAAAUAGCCGAGGUUCUCAACUUUUUUGGUCUUAGUGCAGGAAUGUGCAUGGGAGUAGCUGCCGGGGCUUACAUUCUUACCUUAUUUGCUAUGAAGUAUAGACAACGUGUACUUGGUUUGAUACUUGUUUCACCUCUAUGCAAAGAACCAUCUUGGACUGAGUGGUUGUGCAACAAGGU